AAAACAAAACAUUGGCCGGGCGCUGUGGCUCACGCCUGUAAUCCCAGCACUUGGGGAGGCCGAGGCCAGCGGAUCACGAGGUCAGGAGAUCGAGACCAUCCUGGUUAACACGGUGAAACCCCAUCUCUACUAAAAAUACAAAAAAUUAGCCGGGCGUGGUAGCGGGCACCUGUAGUCCCAGCUACUCGGGAGGCUGAGGCAGGAGAAUGGCGUGAACCUGGGAGGCAGAGCUUGCAGUGAGCCGAGAUCGCGCCACUGCACUCCAGCCUGGGCGACAGAGCGAGACUCCGUCUCAAAACAAAACAAAACGAACAAAACAUUUUUUCCCCUAGCCUGCUUGUACAAUAAAUCUACACAAUCUAGAACAUCAUUUAUUUUAAAUUCUCUAAUUAACAGCUUGAUUCAGUCAUUUCACAAUGUAUACACAUAUCAAAACACCAUGUUGUAUACCAUAAAUAUAUACUUUUGUUAAUUGAAAAAAUGUAAGUAAGAAACUUAAACAAAAAAAUAGCCCAGCCAGGCGUGAUGGCUCACAUCUGUAAUCCCAGUGCUUUGAGAGGCCAAGGUGGGCAGAUCACUUGAGGCUAGGAGUUCGAGACCAGCCUGGCCAACAUGGUGAAACCCCAUCUCUACUAAAAAUACAAAGAUUAGCAGAGCAUGGUGGUGCAUGCCUGUAAUCCCAGCUACUUGGGAGGCUGAAGCAGGAGGAUCGCCUGGACUUGGGAGGCGGAGGUUGCAGUGAGAGGAGAUCACGCCACUGCAUUCCAGCCUGGGCAAGAAUGAGACUCCAUCUCAAAAACAAAUAGAUAAAUAACAAUAGCCCUUUCCAUUAUAGUGUUAUUUUCUGGUAUCAUCUGUAAACCCAGUAUUGAAGUGAAAGUGUUGGAUUAAUUUGAGAAGGAAAAGAUAUACUUAUCAAACACCUUAUAUUAAAUUAUUAUCUAUUAUAUUAUUAUUGUAUUUGUUGAAUACCACAUAUACAUAUUUAGUCCUCACAACCCUAAUGGGACGUGUUAUUCCCAUUGUGUAGCUGAGGAAACUGACACUCUUCAAAGUUCAGCUUGUCUGUGGUUACCAGCUGUAAUGGGGCCCACAGUCAUGGGGUGAUUCUGUGAGCUCACACUCUUUCCACACCCUAUCCCCGAAAUGAAACAACUUGGAACUGUCUCCAUUUUUAUUAUACUGUUCAAUAAAAAUUUGGGGGUUGCUUUGGCAGAUAAUCAUAUGCAAGCUCUAUUUUCCAAAUAUUUCAACUUAUUUUUCUGCUCUCUCGAAUUCCUCCCUCCCCUCCCCCAUUCCAUUUCCUUGUGACCACAUCUGCUUCUUGGAGAGACUUGCAGGAUCUGACACAUCCUCUUGGUUUCCUAAGUCUUAUGACUAGCCAAUGCCUGAAAUAAUGAACUCCUCCAAGGCAAGAAAUCUGUUUUGAAGCUUCUCUGCGUUCACACACAGCAGCCUGGUUUCCUGGCAGGGCAUUUUCCACAUUGUGCGUUAUGGAUGAUCAUCCCGGGCAUCAGGAUGUGAAGCCCUGCAUCCACAUCCAGGGGCUAUCAAAUCUCUCUGCAAAAGGAGAAUCUGGACUCAGGCACGUUUACAGUGAUGUGUAUGCAGGGUAUGCACAGAUGUGGAAACAGGAACUGAUGUGUCCAUUACACCACUAGGACAGAGGCCAGAACAAUGAAGAAACCAAAUGCUUGGAAGAGGGUAGAGAUAAUGAAUGGAGUCCAAGAGCCCUGAUUGUGCCAUAAAUGUCCAGAUAAUUCCAUACCUGAGGAUUAUGUGGUUUGUAAACUUGGCACUUAGAAGAACCAAUAAAAUUAUGUUAUAGUUUCAA